rnacentral:rRNA from 1 species
UAACCUGGUUGAUCCUGCCAGUGUAGUCAUACGCUUGUUUAAAAGAUUAAGCCAUGCAUGUCUAAGUGUAAGUGUUUUACUGCGGGACUGCGAAUGGCUCAUUAGUGCAGUUCUUUUUGAUUUGUGCAAAGUUAGAGGUUAACACUGGUAAUUCUAGUGCUAAUACUUGGUGUUAUUGCCUAAUUUGUUAAUU